GACGUAGGGCGCGAGCGUUUGUCCGGAUUUAUUGGGCGUAAAGAGCUCGUAGGCGGCUUGUCGCGUCGUUCGUGAAAACUUGGGGCUCAACCCCAAGCUUGCGGUCGAUACGGGCAGGCUAGAGUUCGGUAGGGGAGAACGGAAUUCCCGGUGUAGCGGUGAAAUGCGCAGAUAUCGGGAGGAACACCGGUGGCGAAGGCGGUUCUCUGGGCCUGUACUGACGCUGAGGAGCGAAAGCGUGGGGAGCGAACAGG
rnacentral:rRNA from 1 species